rnacentral:rRNA from 2 species
UGAAAAAGAACCUGAAACCGUGUACGUACAAGCAGUGGGAGCACCCUUUGGGGUGUGACUGCGUACCUUUUGUAUAAUGGGUCAGCGACUUAUAUUCUGUAGCAAGGUUAACCGUAUAGGGGAGCCGCAGGGAAACCGAGUCUUAACCGGGCGUUAAGUUGCAGGGUAUAGACCCGAAACCCGGUGAUCUAGCCAUGGGCAGGUUGAAGGUUGGGUAACACUAACUGGAGGACCGAACCGACUAAUGUUGAAAAA